AGGUUGACCUCGGAUCAGGUAGGAUACCCGCUGAACUUAAGCAUAUCAAUAAGCGGAGGAAAUCG
rnacentral:rRNA from 1 species